AUUCAUCAGCUGUGUCAUCUCACACAGGUCCAGGCUCCCUCCUGAGCAGUGGAAGGGUCCUAUGGGAGGAACAGAAUUGUCUCCUGUUUUGGAGGAUGCUGGAUUCCCUGGCAGCAGGUGAUAGAGGAAGAGAUGGAUGGAGAGCUUGAGGACAGCUGCAAAAGCUGAGUGUCAGCCCCUGGCCAGCUUUGUCCCUCAGCCCUGGGAUUACCUGAGUGCAGGCAGCCCCAGCAGUGAGGCAUUUUCUGAUGAAGGCAAAACACUGGAGGAUCCAGAGACACUCAAUAACCAUGCAGUAUGUGAG